rnacentral:rRNA from 1 species
CCUACGGGAGGCAGCAGUGAGGAAUAUUGGUCAAUGGGCUUACGCCUGAACCAGCCAAGUCGCGUGAGGGAAGACUGCCCUAUGGGUUGUAAACCUCUUUUGUCAGGGAGCAACGCGUGCUACGUGUACUCGUUCUGAUAGUACCUGUAGAUAAAGCAUCGGCUACCCCGGUGCCAGCAGCCGCGGUAAUACGGAGGAUGGGAGCGUUAUCCGAAUUUAUUGGUUUAAAGGGGUGCGUGGGGGGAAUGCAAAGUCAGCGGUAAAGUCGGGGGGGUCAACCUAGAUCCGCCGUUGAAACUGGCGGGCUUGAGGGGGCGGGAGGUAGGCGGAAUGCGUGGUGUAGCGGUGAAAUGCAUAGAUAUCACGCAGAACUCCGAUUGCGAAGGCAGCAUACCGGGGCACGACUGACGCUGAUGCACGAAAGCGUGGGUAUCGAACAGGAUUAGAUACCCUGGUAGUC